AGAGUUUGAUCCUGGCUCAGGAUGAACGCUGGCGGCGUGCUUAACACAUGCAAGUCGAACGGGAUCCCAGGAGCUUGCUCCUGGGUGAGAGUGGCGAACGGGUGAGUAAUGCGUGACCGACCUGCCCCAUACACCGGAAUAGCUCCUGGAAACGGGUGGUAAUGCCGGAUGCUCCAGUUGGAUGCAUGUCCUUCUGGGAAAGAUUCUAUCGGUAUGGGAUGGGGUCGCGUCCUAUCAGCUUGAUGGCGGGGUAACGGCCCACCAUGGCUUCGACGGGUAGCCGGCCUGAGAGGGCGACCGGCCACAUUGGGACUGAGAUACGGCCCAGACUCCUACGGGAGGCAGCAGUGGGGAAUAUUGCACAAUGGGCGCAAGCCUGAUGCAGCGACGCCGCGUGCGGGAUGACGGCCUUCGGGUUGUAAACCGCUUUUGACUGGGAGCAAGCCUUCGGGGUGAGUGUACCUUUCGAAUAAGCACCGGCUAACUACCGUGCCAGCAGCCGCGGU
rnacentral:rRNA from 1 species